rnacentral:tRNA from 1 species
GGGGAUGUAGCUCAGUGGUAGAGUGUUCGCUUAGCAUGGGGGAUACUCUGGGUUCGAUUCCUAGAACUUCCA